UGUCUGCGUGCCGCACGCAGGAGUCACAGGAAGAGGGCGGGUGGUCUCGUCCGCACGCAACCGCCAUGGCAUGGUCUAGUUACUGAAUGGGGCAAACAGCAACAGCAGCUGCCGAUGUCAGGUCCUCACAGUAAACACAAACAAAGUCUCUGGUGUGGCACUGCCUUGCUCCGGUUAGUGAAGUGGAAGUUGCAGGAACGACAAGUUGCCCUUUCACCUGUUCACACCAUUUGCUGUAAUCUGUGAGAAAGAUUGAUUUUCGGGAUGGGCUGCAAGCUACAAAUCAUGGCGACAUCUACCUCUGGUUACAGCCAAUCAGCAACCAGCACCUGGCCUGCCAGCAGCCAAUCAGUGACCAGCACCGGCCUUGACGUCAACUGCCAGGGACCUGAGACUGAAGGGCGUCAGGAUCGCUAUGAUUCGCAGUUCACGGAGAAAACAGUCUACAAAUCAUGGCGACAUCUACCUCUGGUUACAGCCAAUCAGCGACCAGCUCCUGGCCUGCCAGCAGCCAAUCAGCGACCAGCACCGGCCUUGACGUCAACUGCCAGGGACCUGAGACCGAAGGGCGUCAGGAUCGCUACACUGAAGGGCGUCAGGAUCGCUAUGAUUCGCAGUUCACGGAGAAAACUUUUUCCUCGGCAGACAAGGACGAAGACUCGUCUACAAGAAAACUUACGCCACCGGAAAAAGCGAGUUACAGUUCCUGUGACUCAAUGGAAACCCAAGGGAGCACCACCAGCGUAGUGUUGACGGAUGCCAGGCGAGUUACAAUCCUGAUGACCGAACUGGAACUGAUAUGAUAUCAAAGUUGUAAUCAUGGCUGACUCAUUGAGGAAUUCUGUACCUAAAGCCUUUGUAGAUUAUAGCAUCACAAUUACAGCGCAGUCAAAUUAAAAGCCAAGCGCCCAAGUACGUAUACGCGUGUGUGAAGAAUUACUUGCUAUAAAGUGUUUGAACAUUUGGAGAGUUCAGAACAAAACAAACGACUGGAAUCCAAGUGGAGGUGUAAAAAAAAAACGAUCAUCCUCUGAUUUCAUGGGAGUAAAGCGUAAUUCUAUGAGAGUACACAAAGAUUGUUCACAGACAGAAUGCUGAGAGAUUUCCAUUUUAUUAACAUGUAAAUUCGUGAAGAUUUUUGAUUUGCACAAAUUUAAAAAUGGGCUUGACAAAACCUAAACUAC